rnacentral:rRNA from 1 species
UUGCCCCCUGACUGCUGGGGGAUAACCACUGUGGAAACCGAUGGGCAUAAUACACGCAUAACUAGUCCUUCGGGCUUCAAAGAGGGGGGAACCCUUCGGGCCAUCUCGCGAUCAGGGGAUACUGCCCAGGUGGGGAUUAGCCUAGCUUGGGUCGAGGCUAAGGGGGCUCACUCUAGGGGCGACGGAUCCCCCCUAGCCUGGGUCCUGGAGAAGGGAUUGGAUCAGUGCCCACACCUGGGGGAACUGGAGAAACACGGGGUUGCCAGACCUCCAUGACGGGGACGGCCAGCCAGCUGGGGGGAAAUAAUUGACAACCAAUGCGGCGCUACAGCCCUGGAUGACAGCCCCAUGGGCCGGCGUGGAUAUGAAGAAAAGGGCCGUUCGCGCGUUUGUAAAUGUAACUUUUCUAGCAGCUGGAGGGAAGGGGGAGUGGUACUGUUAAUAGGCGUUGACAUCAUUUUUGACGUUAGCUGCAGAAGAAGCACCGGCUAACUCCGUGCCAGCAGCCGCGGUAAUACGGAGGGUGCGAGCGUUAAUCGGAAUUACUGGGCGUAAAGCGCAUGCAGGUGGUUUGUUAAGUCAGAUGUGAAAGCCCGGGGCUCAACCUCGGAAUUGCAUUUGAAACUGGCAGACUAGAGUACUGUAGAGGGGGGUAGAAUUUCAGGUGUAGCGGUGAAAUGCGUAGAGAUCUGAAGGAAUACCGGUGGCGAAGGCGGCCCCCUGGACAGAUACUGACACUCAGAUGCGAAAGCGUGGGGAGCAAACAGGAUUAGAUACCCUGGUAGUCCACGCCGUAAACGAUGUCUACUUGGAGGUUGUGGCCUUGAGCCGUGGCUUUCGGAGCUAACGCGUUAAGUAGACCGCCUGGGGAGUACGGUCGCAAGAUUAAAACUCAAAUGAAUUGACGGGGGCCCGCACAAGCGGUGGAGCAUGUGGUUUAAUUCGAUGCAACGCGAAGAACCUUACCUACUCUUGACAUCCAGAGAAUUUUCCAGAGAUGGAUUAGUGCCUUCGGGAACUCUGAGACAGGUGCUGCAUGGCUGUCGUCAGCUCGUGUUGUGAAAUGUUGGGUUAAGUCCCGCAACGAGCGCAACCCUUAUCCUUGUUUGCCAGCGAGUAAUGUCGGGAACUCCAGGGAGACUGCCGGUGAUAAACCGGAGGAAGGUGGGGACGACGUCAAGUCAUCAUGGCCCUUACGAGUAGGGCUACACACGUGCUACAAUGGCGCAUACAGAGGGCAGCAAGCUAGCGAUAGUGAGCGAAUCCCAAAAAGUGCGUCGUAGUCCGGAUUGGAGUCUGCAACUCGACUCCAUGAAGUCGGAAUCGCUAGUAAUCGUGGAUCAGAAUGCCACGAUGAAUACG